AACGAACGCUGGCGGCAUGCCUAACACAUGCAAGUCGAACGAGACCUUCGGGUCUAGUGGCGCACGGGUGCGUAACGCGUGGGAACCUGCCCUUAGGUUCGGAAUAACUCCCCGAAAGGGGUGCUAAUACCGGAUAAUGUCUUCGGACCAAAGAUUUAUCGCCUUUGGAUGGGCCCGCGUUGGAUUAGCUAGUUGGUAGGGUAAAAGCCUAUCAAGGCGAGGAUCCAUAGCUGGUCUGAGAGGAUGAUCAGCCACACUGGGACUGAGACACGGCCCAGACUCCUACGGGAGGCAGCAGUGGAGAAUAUUGGACGAUGGGCGAAAGCCUGAUCCAGCAAUGCCGCGUGAGUGAUGAAGGCCUUAGGGUUGUAAAGCUCUUUUACCCGGGAUGAUAAUGACGGUACCGGGAGAAUAAGCUCCGGCUAACUCCGUG
rnacentral:rRNA from 1 species